GUACACAAAAAUGCACAUAUUGUGAGCUCGAUGAGUAGGGCGGGACACGUGGUAUCCUGUCUGAAUAUGGGGGGACCAUCCUCCAAGGCUAAAUACUCCUGACUGACCGAUAGUGAACCAGUACCGUGAGGGAAAGGCGAAAAGAACCCCGGCGAGGGGAGUGAAAAAGAACCUGAAACCGUGUACGUACAAGCAGUGGGAGCCUCUUUAUGGGGUGACUGCGUACCUUUUGUAUAAUGGGUCAGCGACUUAUAUUCUGUAGCAAGGUUAACCGAAUAGGGGAGCCGAAGGGAAACCGAGUCUUAACUGGGCGUUAAGUUGCAGGGUAUAGACCCGAAACCCGGUGAUCUAGCCAUGGGCAGGUUGAAGGUUGGGUAACACUAACUGGAGGACCGAACCGACUAAUGUUGAAAAAUUAGCGGAUGACUUGUGGCUGGGGGUGAAAGGCCAAUCAAACCGGGAGAUAGCUGGUUCUCCCCGAAAGCUAUUUAGGUAGCGCCUCGUGAAUUCAUCUCCGGGGGUAGAGCACUGUUUCGGCAAGGGGGUCAUCCCGACUUACCAACCCGAUGCAAACUGCGAAUACCGGAGAAUGUUAUCACGGGAGACACACGGCGGGUGCUAACGUCCGUCGUGAAGAGGGAAACAACCCAGACCGCCAGCUAAGGUCCCAAAGUCAUGGUUAAGUGGGAAACGAUGUGGGAAGGCCCAGACAGCCAGGAUGUUGGCUUAGAAGCAGCCAUCAUUUAAAGAAAGCGUAAUAGCUCACUGGUCGAGUCGGCCUGCGCGGAAGAUGUAACGGGGCUAAACCAUGCACCGAAGCUGCGGCAGCGACACUAUGUGUUGUUGGGUAGGGGAGCGUUCUGUAAGCCUGUGAAGGUGGCCUGUGAGGGUUGCUGGAGGUAUCAGAAGUGCGAAUGCUGACAUAAGUAACGAUAAAGCGGGUGAAAAGCCCGCUCGCCGGAAGACCAAGGGUUCCUGUCCAACGUUAAUCGGGGCAGGGUGAGUCGACCCCUAAGGCGAGGCCGAAAGGCGUAGUCGAUGGGAAACAGGUUAAUAUUCCUGUACUUGGUGUUACUGCGAAGGGGGGACGGAGAAGGCUAUGUUGGCCGGGCGACGGUUGUCCCGGUUUAAGCGUGUAGGCUGGUUUUCCAGGCAAAUCCGGAAAACCAAGGCUGAGGCGUGAUGACGAGGCACUACGGUGCUGAAGCGACAAAUGCCCUGCUUCCAGGAAAAGCCUCUAAGCAUCAGGUAACAUCAAAUCGUACCCCAAACCGACACAGGUGGUCAGGUAGAGAAUACCAAGGCGCUUGAGAGAACUCGGGUGAAGGAACUAGGCAAAAUGGUGCCGUAACUUCGGGAGAAGGCACGCUGAUAUGUAGGUGAAGCGACUUGCUCGUGGAGCUGAAAUCAGUCGAAGAUACCAGCUGGCUGCAACUGUUUAUUAAAAACACAGCACUGUGCAAACACGAAAGUGGACGUAUACGGUGUGACGCCUGCCCGGUGCCGGAAGGUUAAUUGAUGGGGUUAGCGGUAACGCGAAGCUCUUGAUCGAAGCCCCGGUAAACGGCGGCCGUAACUAUAACGGUCCUAAGGUAGCGAAAUUCCUUGUCGGGUAAGUUCCGACCUGCACGAAUGGCGUAAUGAUGGCCAGGCUGUCUCCACCCGAGACUCAGUGAAAUUGAACUCGCUGUGAAGAUGCAGUGUACCCGCGGCAAGACGGAAAGACCCCGUGAACCUUUACUAUAGCUUGACACUGAACAUUGAGCCUUGAUGUGUAGGAUAGGUGGGAGGCUUUGAAGUGUGGACGCCAGUCUGCAUGGAGCCGACCUUGAAAUACCACCCUUUAAUGUUUGAUGUUCUAACGUUGGCCCGUAAUCCGGGUUGCGGACAGUGUCUGGUGGGUAGUUUGACUGGGGCGGUCUCCUCCUAAAGAGUAACGGAGGAGCACGAAGGUUGGCUAAUCCUGGUCGGACAUCAGGAGGUUAGUGCAAUGGCAUAAGCCAGCUUGACUGCGAGCGUGACGGCGCGAGCAGGUGCGAAAGCAGGUCAUAGUGAUCCGGUGGUUCUGAAUGGAAGGGCCAUCGCUCAACGGAUAAAAGGUACUCCGGGGAUAACAGGCUGAUACCGCCCAAGAGUUCAUAUCGACGGCGGUGUUUGGCACCUCGAUGUCGGCUCAUCACAUCCUGGGGCUGAAGUAGGUCCCAAGGGUAUGGCUGUUCGCCAUUUAAAGUGGUACGCGAGCUGGGUUUAGAACGUCGUGAGACAGUUCGGUCCCUAUCUGCCGUGGGCGCUGGAGAACUGAGGGGGGCUGCUCCUAGUACGAGAGGACCGGAGUGGACGCAUCACUGGUGUUCGGGUUGUCAUGCCAAUGGCACUGCCCGGUAGCUAAAUGCGGAAGAGAUAAGUGCUGAAAGCAUCUAAGCACGAAACUUGC
rnacentral:rRNA from 1 species